GUCUAAAAGUCUAUGAGUAGCUUUUCAUUAAUAUAUAUAUAUAUAUAUAUAUAUAUAUAUAUUUUAGUGUGGCAUCUUAUUUGUCAUUGCUGAUGCAGGCUCCUGCAAGUGGCAUUUUGGGGAUCCAGCUGGGAUCAACCCCAUCCCUAGAGAGAUCAGGUGUCAUUUUAUGGUUCUGCCAAGAAAAACAUUUUCAAUAACAGCCUGGCCUCUGUGGGAACUUUGCCAGCAGGGGCUGUCAUGAAGAUAUUUAGAUGUUGUGCAUUUCAUCCCCAUCAUGUUCAUGAUCUCCUUGCUGAUUUGCCUUGGGCUGGUUUCUCUCUUGAAAAGGCACCUGUUUUCCUUCAUUUCAGUGCUUUCCAAUUUGUUUCUGCUUGAAAGUACUAGUCUAUAGUUUAGAGCAAAGUGAAUAGCUAAUAUACAUUUAGUUUUGCUGGAAGAACAAGUAUUUUUUUGUUUGAUUUUUACUUGACCUAAGAUAAACCAUUUUACUUUGGAAAUAUAUAUAUUCCAAAGUGUAGUGCCUUUAUUUAUUUCAUUCUUUAUUAAAAAAAAAAAUAAAAUCUGAAGGUUUAAAAAAGUGACUUUUGUUUUUUUCUGUUGUUGUUGUUUGUUUUUUUUGGUAGUCUUUCUCUCUCAUUCUCUUUCUCUCUUUUCAGAACUAUUCAAUAAUUCAACACGAACUUGCACAUACUAUAAUUAAUUAAAGUCUUAAUUUCUGAUGAACAGAGGAUCUGUCAUCAUGACAUCCUUCCAUAUGAACAUGAACAUUACAUCCUUCCAUAUGAAGAUUUCAUGUUAGAGAGCCUGACUUGAUUGAUUGUUCUUUUUGAUUGUCAUGGUGUCUGAUAACUUUGGCUAGGAUUCUUUCUGCUUGCCUGAAGAGAAAUAAAAAGUAUUGGGCUUUUGGGCCUAGAGUUACUUUACAUGUCAGACCUUCUGGUGUGACAGUAUGCCAUACUCCAGAACACAUGCCUAUUCUUUACCAAUUUUCUUAGUAGAAAUGGUAAGAAAAGGCUAGAAAAGGCUAAUGGUAAAAAACUUUUAACCCGGGGGGGUUGCAACUUUAGACACUACUCCUAAUUGCUUUAUUUUCAUUGUGCUUAUAUUCUGUAAAUUUUCUGGAUAUUCAGAUUUUCUACAGGACUUUGAAUAGAUAUAUCUUCCAAAAAGAUCGAUGCAGGGCUCAGAGGAAGGAUCCAUGGUGUUUCCAACAAACAGUUCUCAUUACAGCUUCCACUUUUGGAGGCAGCAUCUGGUUCUGGAUUGCACUCUGUUCAGCCUGCCAAAUUAAUACAAUGAACACUUCCAUUGCUGACAGCUGACAUGGUCCUGGCACAAGUAGCGCAGGCACUCUGGAGUCCAUUGUCUCUUGAAAUGGCUGUGACUACAACAUUAGCAUCAAUGAGAACUGAGAUUCAGAAUUUUCAUAAGGCUCAGCCAAGGAAUACAAAAGAGGUGGUAUUGUGAUUAAACUACAAAAAAGUCACAAAACGUGACAGGAAAAAGGAGCCAGUACUAGCUUCUGCAGUAUUUUCUCUGAUGAUUUGUUAACUGAAUGAGGCUAGAAAUUUAGCUAUCUAUGCAAAGCUGAAAUUUCAA